rnacentral:tRNA from 1 species
GCACUAGUGGGUUAGUGGUAAACUUGGUCGUUGCCAUUCCGCGACUUCGACCAGCCCCCGGUUCAAUUCCGUGCUAGUGCA